rnacentral:rRNA from 2 species
UGAGGAAUAUUGGUCAAUGGGCGCAAGCCUGAACCAGCCAUCCCGCGUGAAGGAUGAAUGUACUAUGUAUUGUAAACUGCUUUUCCAGGGAGAGAAACUUGCGCACGUGUUGCGCAAUUGACGGUACCCUGGGAAUAAGCAUCGGCUAACUCCGUGCCAGCAGCCGCGGUAAUACGGAGGAUGCGAGCGUUAUCCGGAUUCAUUGGGUUUAAAGGGUGCGUAGGCGGACUAUUAAGUCAGUGGUGAAAUCCUGCAGCUUAACUGCAGAACUGCCAUUGAUACUGAUAGCCUUGAGUUUGGUUAAGGUAGGCGGAAUGUGUAAUGUAGCGGUGAAAUGCUUAGAUAUUACACAGAACACCAAUUGCGUAGGCAGCUUACUGAGCCGACACUGACGCUGAGGCACGAAAGCGUGGGGAUCGAACAGG